rnacentral:piRNA from 1 species
UUCUACGUGUCUGUAUGGCAUAGUGCAA